rnacentral:rRNA from 1 species
AGAGUUUGAUCAUGGCUCAGGACGAACGCUGGCGGCGUGCCUAAUACAUGCAAGUCGAGCGGAUUUCAAGGAGCUUGCUCCUUGAUUUCAGCGGCGGACGGGUGAGUAACACGUGGGCAACCUGCCUAUAAGACUGGGAUAACUUCGGGAAACCGGAGCUAAUACCGGAUAAUCCUUUUCCUCUCAUGAGGGAAAGCUGAAAGACGGCGUAAGCUGUCACUUAUAGAUGGGCCCGCGGCGCAUUAGCUAGUUGGUGAGGUAACGGCUCACCAAGGCGACGAUGCGUAGCCGACCUGAGAGGGUGAUCGGCCACACUGGGACUGAGACACGGCCCAGACUCCUACGGGAGGCAGCAGUAGGGAAUCUUCCGCAAUGGAUGAAAGUCUGACGGAGCAACGCCGCGUGAGCGAAGAAGGCCUUCGGGUCGUAAAGCUCUGUUGUUAGGGAAGAACAAGUGUCGGAGUAACUGCCGGCACCUUGACGGUACCUAACCAGAAAGCCACGGCUAACUACGUGCCAGCAGCCGCGGUAAUACGUAGGUGGCAAGCGUUGUCCGGAAUUAUUGGGCGUAAAGCGCGCGCAGGCGGUCUUUUAAGUCUGAUGUGAAAGCCCCCGGCUCAACCGGGGAGGGUCAUUGGAAACUGGAGGACUUGAGUGCAGAAGAGAAGAGCGGAAUUCCACGUGUAGCGGUGAAAUGCGUAGAGAUGUGGAGGAACACCAGUGGCGAAGGCGGCUCUUUGGUCUGUAACUGACGCUGAGGCGCGAAAGCGUGGGGAGCAAACAGGAUUAGAUACCCUGGU